CCUACGGGUGGCAGCAGUGGGGAAUAUUGGACAAUGGGGGAAACCCUGAUCCAGCGACGCCGCGUGAGUGAAGAAGUAUUUCGGUACGUAAAGCUCUAUCAGCAGGAAAGAAAAUGACGGUACCUGACUAAGAAGCCCCGGCUAACUACGUGCCAGCAGCCGCGGUAAUACGUAGGGGGCAAGCGUUAUCCGGAUUUACUGGGUGUAAAGGGAGCGUAGACGGCAGCGCAAGUCUGGAGUGAAAUGCCGGGGCCCAACCCCGGAACUGCUCUGGAAACUGGGAAGCUGGAGUGCAGGAGGGGGGGGGGGGGGGGGGGGGGGGGGGGGGGGGGGGGGUGAUAUCAGGAGGAACACCGGCGGCGAAGGCGGCUUACUGGACUGUAACUGACGUUGAGGCUCGAAGGCGUGGGGAGCAAACAGGAUUAGAUACCCCAGUAGUC
rnacentral:rRNA from 1 species